UCGUAUCUUUAUAAAAGCUGUUUGUGUUCAGAUAACACAUAUAGGAUCUUGGAUUUUUGUCCUCCUUGAUUCAAAUAUCAAAAUGAAAGUCACACUAGCUAUAUCGAUUCUAUUGGGAGUGUUUGCCUGUGUUUCUGCUGGGGGAUAUGGGCAUGGAUUAAAUCACAACUAUUUGGGUGCCUAUAAACAAUAUUACUAUCAACCAAGACCGCUAUAUUACGCAGCACAACAGCCAUAUUAUGUUACAUACGGUGUACAACCUGUUGGUGGAUAUGGUGUCGGUUUGGGUGGCGGAUCCAACGCUGGUUCGAUAAUCCCCAUCAUAAUCAUCUUUGUUCUGCUAGCGAUCUUUGCUCCCUUGUUGAUUGCCUCCUUGACUCUCAGCAACGACUCUUCUUAUGACGGCCGUAAAUAAAUGGAAUAAGACAUAAUAGGAAAGGGGUGUAUAUAAUUGACUGCCUGUAACAAAUAUAGAAUAAAUUACUGUACAUGUU